rnacentral:rRNA from 1 species
GACGAACGCUGGCGGCGUGCUUAACACAUGCAAGUCGAACGGAAAGGCCCUGCUUUUGUGGGUUGCUCGAGUGGCGAACGGGUGAGUAACACGUGAGUAACCUGCCCUUGACUUUGGGAUAACUUCAGGAAACUGGGGCUAAUACCGGAUAGGAUCUCCUGCUGCAUGGUGGUGGUUGGAAAGUUUCGGCGGUUGUGGAUGGACUCGCGGCUUAUCAGCUUGUUGGUGAGGUAGUGGCUUACCAAGGCUUUGACGGGUAGCCGGCCUGAGAGGGUGACCGGCCACAUUGGGACUGAGAUACGGACCAGACUCCUACGGGAGGCAGCAGGGGGGAAUAUUGCACAAUGGGCGGAAGCCUGAUGCAGCAACGCCGCGUGCGGGAUGACGGCCUUCGGGUUGUAAACCGCUUUCGCCUGUGACGAAGCGUGAGUGACGGUAAUGGGUAAAGAAGCACCGGCUAACUACGUG